AAAUAAGAUAUGGUAGUUUCGACCUACUUUUAGAUUCAUUUAAUCCUUAUUUA
rnacentral:tRNA from 1 species